UACGUAGGGUGCGAGCGUUGUCCGGAUUUAUUGGGCGUAAAGAGCUCGUAGGCGGCUCGGUAAGUCGGAUGUGAAAACUCGGGGCUCAACCCCGAGACGCCAUCCGAUACUGCUGUGGCUUGAGUCUGGUAGGGGAGAACGGAAUUCCUGGUGUAGCGGUGAAAUGCGCAGAUAUCAGGAGGAACACCGGUGGCGAAGGCGGGUCUCUGGGCCGUAACUGACGCUGGGGAGCGAAAGCGUGGGGAGCGAACAGG
rnacentral:rRNA from 1 species